rnacentral:lncRNA from 10 species
UUUAAGUGAGAGUUAUGAAGUUAGAUCAACCCCAGGAACCACUUUUAUUUCUGUAUUUUGUUUGGAUGCACGAAUGAAGUGGAGGAGUACAAGAUAUAAAGCGUCAUUAGAAGGCUAUGAAAGUCAUCUGGACAUAAAGUAAUCAGGGCCUGGACUGGGGACUCAAGAACUAAAAAUCAGAAGUGCAAUGGAAAAAAGUGGUGGUUAUACAUCAGUAUACCUACUCUGCUUGUUUUAUUUACUAAGAAUGUCACAAGCAUAUAAGAAAGU